GCAGUCGAGCGGCAGCACGGGUACUUGUACCUGGUGGCGAGCGGCGGACGGGUGAGUAAUGCCUAGGAAUCUGCCUGGUAGUGGGGGAUAACGCUCGGAAACGGACGCUAAUACCGCAUACGUCCUACGGGAGAAAGCAGGGGACCUUCGGGCCUUGCGCUAUCAGAUGAGCCUAGGUCGGAUUAGCUAGUUGGUGAGGUAAUGGCUCACCAAGGCGACGAUCCGUAACUGGUCUGAGAGGAUGAUCAGUCACACUGGAACUGAGACACGGUCCAGACUCCUACGGGAGGCAGCAGUGGGGAAUAUUGGACAAUGGGCGAAAGCCUGAUCCAGCCAUGCCGCGUGUGUGAAGAAGGUCUUCGGAUUGUAAAGCACUUUAAGUUGGGAGGAAGGGCAGUUACCUAAUACGUAAUUGUUUUGACGUUACCGACAGAAUAAGCACCGGCUAACUCUGUGCCAGCAGCCGCGGUAAUACAGAGGGUGCAAGCGUUAAUCGGAAUUACUGGGCGUAAAGCGCGCGUAGGUGGUUCGUUAAGUUGGAUGUGAAAUCCCCGGGCUCAACCUGGGAACUGCAUUCAAAACUGUCGAGCUAGAGUAUGGUAGAGGGUGGUGGAAUUUCCUGUGUAGCG
rnacentral:rRNA from 1 species